AGGUGCUUGGUGUAACUGGUAGCACAAUAGUCUCCAAAACUAUAAGAAGUGGUUCAAAUCCAUUAGCAUCUGCUA
rnacentral:tRNA from 1 species